GCCCAUCUGGUGAUCCAGGUCGGACAUUCGCGCCCGGUAAGCGCGAGAGGAGGGUUCGAGUCCCUCGAUGGGCUCCA
rnacentral:tRNA from 1 species